ACGGCGAACAAGAUCAGCGAAAAACAAACGUCAUCAAAAUCGGCGAACACCUACUUCCGUCAACGUCAUUCCGCAUUCUUCUCGCCGCCGUCAGCAGCAAAGUUGUGCAGCAAAAAAGAAAAAAAUAAAAGUGCCCGUUUUUCGUACGAACGGAAAAAAAUCGUCCUAGGAAGCGGACGAAGGGCGCGAGUGCUUAAGAAGGAAUCGGGGAAGGAAUUCCUGACGAUAUAGGAAAAAUAUUAACAGCAAUUGAAAUUGCUUCCCUCAUUCGCACCGAUUGUGCCAUCCGGACCGUAAUUGUGACAGCACGUGGGGACAUAUUUAAAGUCUAACAGACUGCUCGCUUUGAAUCCCAGAGACGAAUCCGGACGGGCGGGUGGACUAAAGAAUACUAAGCACGUCGGAACACUCCCGGUACCGUAAACCAGAAAGGGCAAGGCAUUAAAUCGAUCGGGGCAGAUUAUAGCUAAUUGAGUACCUAUACAAAGAGCACACCCGAAAUCAAACCAAAGCUCAAGGACACAGCACCGUCAUCCUUCCAUUCGCGGCUCGCACGACAAAAGGCCUCCACAAGGAGGCCAUUUUUCUAUAUUUUGCAGAUCGGUCACGGUGAACGGCCUUAGCCUCCCGAAAGGUAACCGCCGUGGGCGUUUCGAACACUGUGGGGAUCGAAGUCUGAAGCCGGAAAAACCAUCAUUCAACUGUCGUGCUGGGAAGAGUUCGGCAUUGCGCGAGAAGGUACGGAAGCUUGAACCGGAAAGAGAAGGACACGGACGGAGAGAAGGAGAAGGACACGGACAGCACCCGCUGGAAGAGCGAUUGGCGUAUCGCUGCCAAUGACAAGACGAAUCUUCACGCCACUUCAGAAGCACAGGGGUUCACCAUUUCCUCGCGAUACGAGAUGCGCUCGACGGAAUCCAGGUGGGAAGAACGAGAGCGGCACUGAGGAUGCGGCAGCCGUGAGUGAUAGUUUUAAGAAAUUGAAACGAAGAUGUAAGAAGACCAGGCAUGCUAAUCGAGUAGGAGAGUAGGGAGUCAGAAGAACGUUGAGAAGUUAUGUAAAUGGGUGAAAUAUAGGAUGAUAUGAUUGCACACUAAAUUAUGUUUUGUGGCGUUUAUUGUUGCU